GGAGUUCGUGGCACUGGAGGACCAGCCGUUUAGUGUAGUGCAGGAUAAAGGCUUCGUAAAUCUGACGAAACACCUGAGUCCACGGUACAAAUUACCAAGUAGGGUGUUUCAUCAGAUUUACAAAGCCUUUAUCCUGUACUACGCUAAAUGGCUGGUUCUCCAGUGCCAAGAACUCCAUUAUUUUCCUGGUGGUGGCUUUGGACUUUUCAGUGCUGAUGUCGAACAUAGGAGCCACGGCGGAGGGUUGUUGUGGUCGCUGCGACUCUGCUGCAUCCCUCCUCUUAGCGGCAGUGUAUUCCUUAUAUUUGCUAAACCAGCCUGGGUGCUUCUUUUCCAAGUGGCGUAUUAAGUUUGUUGUUCCAAAUGUCUUAGGCGUUGAUUGGUACAAACUACCAAGUAGGCGGUACUUUUCUGACACAGCGCUGCCAGAGUCGUUUGAGAGAGGUACUGGAGGGGUAGUCAAUAAAUUACAUUGUACCAGGCAAAUGCUGGGACGUUUUUGAAUGUUGUUUGAAUGUAAGUUAGUUAUUGAUCUGUAAACUGGACUGAAUGUUAUGGUCAGUGUAGAAAAUAAAUCUGCUCAGGAGGCGCUGUUGAAACUCUCACUCUAUUUCUUAUUUGUGAGGUUUUAUUCUUGAAAAGGGGGGUUAUGAUAGCAUAUAGCCUACCAUUAGUUGUGCUUUUAAUUGCAGUUAAGCAAAAUGUUGUCUGGGAGAGGGGUACUUAAAUUAAAAUUGGGAAAGGGUACUCAAGCCAAACAAAUAUGGUGUCUAUUAUAUGAUUAUAAUUAUUUCUUAGAUAGAAAAUCGGUAUCGGAAAAACUGGUUUUGGC